CCUACGGGCGGCAGCAGUGAGGAAUAUUGGUCAAUGGGCGCGAGCCUGAACCAGCCACGUAGCGUGAAGGAUGACUGCCCUCCGGGUUGUAAACUUCUUUUAUAAAGGAAUAAAGUGAGGCAAGUGUGCCUUUUUGUAUGGACUUUAUGAAUAAGGAUCGGCUAACUACGUGCCAGCAGACGCGGUAAUACGGAGGAUGCGAGCGUUAUCCGGAUUUAUUGGGUGUAAAGGGAGCGUAGAUGGGUUGUUAAGUCAGUUGUGAAAGUUUGCGGCUCAACCGUAAAAUUGCAAUUGAUACUGGCAGUCUUGAGUACAGUUGAGGUAGGCGGAAUUCGUGGUGUAGCGGUGAAAUGCUUAGAUAUCACGAAGAACUCCGAUUGCGAAGGCAGCUUACUAAACUGCCACUGACAUUGAUGCUCGAAAGUGUGGGUAUCAAACAGGAUUAGAUACCCUGGUAGUC
rnacentral:rRNA from 1 species